ACACACAUAUAUGUGUAUACGUAUGUGUGUAUAUAUAUACACACAUAUAUGUGUAUAUAUAUAUGUGUGUA
rnacentral:pre_miRNA from 1 species